GGGGAAUAUUGCACAAUGGGCGAAAGCCUGAUGCAGCAACGCCGCGUGAGUGAUGAAGGUCUUCGGAUUGUAAAGCUCUGUCUUUUGGGACGAUAAUGACGGUACCAAAGGAGGAAGCCACGGCUAACUACGUGCCAGCAGCCGCGGUAAUACGUAGGUGGCGAGCGUUGUCCGGAUUUACUGGGCGUAAAGGGUGCGUAGGCGGAUGUUUAAGUGAGAUGUGAAAUACCCGGGCUUAACUUGGGUGCUGCAUUUCAAACUGGAUAUCUAGAGUGCAGGAGAGGAGAAUGGAAUUCCUAGUGUAGCGGUGAAAUGCGUAGAGAUUAGGAAGAACACCAGUGGCGAAGGCGAUUCUCUGGACUGUAACUGACGCUGAGGCACGAAAGCGUGGGUAGCAAACAGGAUUAGAUA
rnacentral:rRNA from 1 species